rnacentral:misc_RNA from 1 species
AAGUCGUAACAAGGUCUCCGUAGGUGAACCUGCGGAGGGAUCAUUACUGAGUUUUUAACUCUCCAAACCAUGUGUACUUACCACUGUUGCCUCGGUGGUUGGUCUUCGGACUGACCACCGGUGGACUACUAAACUCUUGUUAAUUUUUGGCAUUCUGAAUCAUAACUAAGAAAUAAGUUAAAACUUUCAACAACGGAUCUCUUGGUUCUG